rnacentral:rRNA from 1 species
UGCGCAGGCGGUUGUACAAGACGGAUGUGAAAUCCCCGGGCUUAACCUGGGAAUGGCAUUCGUGACUGUACGGCUAGAGUGUGUCAGAGGGGGGUAGAAUUCCACGUGUAGCAGUGAAAUGCGUAGAUAUGUGGAGGAAUACCGAUGGCGAAGGCAGCCCCCUGGGAUAACACUGACGCUCAUGCACGAAAGCGUGGGGAGCAAACA